rnacentral:lncRNA from 1 species
ACAGUACCGCUUCCGCUUCUAGCCACAGUGCUCGCAGGCAGCUGGGUGGAGGCAGCUGCUCCCACGAGCUGCAGUUAGAUGGGAGGAUUUUGGUACCUGCCCUUUGCCGUCCUGCUUCACCGAGCAAUGUGCUCUGGGGACGGCACAGCCACAGAAUGGAACGGGGCUGCGGGCAAGUCCAUCACGUUUCGUCUGCAGCGCCUCUUGGGAAAGCACGUAGCCUGGCACUUUCAGAGCGAACUGCUAGCAACUGUCAAAUUUGGAAACCCUCCUGACAUCAUUUAUUUUGACCAAACCUACAAGAGUCGCCUGAACUUCUCUGCCAAUGGCACCGCAAUCACCAUCUCGCAGCUGGCAAUGGAAGACGCUGGCAUCUACACGGCUAAAUUCUCUACAACGGCAAAAGCUCUCUUCAUCCUGCAUGUGUACGCGGAGCUGCCGCAGCCAGCGAUCACCUGCAUCUGGAGCAACUGCUCCACCGCCGCCUGCCACUACCGC